rnacentral:misc_RNA from 1 species
CAACCCUCAAGCCCUGCUUGGUGUUGGGGCACUACGCGCGAGCGUAGGCCCUCAAAAUCAGUGGCGGACCCGCUGGAGGUCCGGGCGUAGUAACACAUCUCGCCCGAGGUCCCCAGCGUGCCCCUGCCGUUAAACCCCCAAAUUUACAGAA